GUGAUUGUAAGUCUGGACAAGAGAUUGAACGACACUUUGCUCCAAGCUGUUAAAGGUGAUAUUAUUGGUUUAAAAAUGAUUCAGAUCCAAGCAGAAUCUCUUUGCAAGGAUAAGGAUUAUUAAGGAAAUCCCAGCAACAGCUUAGGGGGAGCAUUUGGUGGAUCCACUAGUCAAACUCAACACCACAUUGAAGAUGAACAGGACAUAUCAAGAACGUAUCUGCUUAGACAAAGGGUUUGGAGUCAAUAUCAUUCCCGGGUUCUAGUUCUUAAAUGUUCCUGACGGUGAAGUGAAGACUGGGAGAGCUAUUGUGAAAGGAUGUUAUUUCUUUGAGUUUCAAUCUGAAGUGAAACUUGAGGAAGAUUCAGAAGCUCUUAAAUGGAUCCAGAUUGAGUGAUUGCACAGCAAGAUGAUCUCAAUCAGUUUGAAAGCAGAUUGUGCGGAUUCUGAUACCUGAUCUAAUGACAAUUCAGUACUUAGUACUUGUCGGGUAUUUAGAUUCCAACUGGAUGUUUUUGGCUCUGUUACGAGGGACAAGCCAAUUUGGUUGCUUAGAGUUACUUCAAAAGAGAAGGUUAUGAAGAUGAUGGAAAUAGAAUCUUCAAGUUCAGGACUCUACAUCUUAGAGGACUCAACGACCUUCAUGAUUGAACUAAAGCACCAUUGACGAGACUCGGGUUCAGGAUAUUACAGUGAGCUAGAAGAUGAAGCUUCAUACAACAUUUCAAGGACUUUGCAGUUGCAGAUCCA
rnacentral:lncRNA from 1 species